UACGGAGGAUGCGAGCGUUAUCCGGAUUUAUUGGGUUCAAAGGGUGCGUAGGCGGGCUUUUAAGUCAGCGGUAAAAAUUCGGGGCUCAACCCCGUCCGGCCGUUGAAACUGGGGGUCUUGAGUGGGCGAGAAGAAGGCGGAAUGCGUGGUGUAGCGGUGAAAUGCAUAGAUAUCACGCAGAACCCCGAUUGCGAAGGCAGCCUUCCGGCGCCCUACUGACGCUGAGGCACGAAAGUGCGGGGAUCGAACAGG
rnacentral:rRNA from 1 species